rnacentral:tRNA from 1 species
GCCACCGUGGCGGAAUUGGCAGACGCGCUGGACUCAAAAUCCAGUUCCCUUUGUGGGAGUGUCGGUUCAAACCCGACCGGUGGUA